rfam:Schistosoma mansoni strain Puerto Rico chromosome 2, complete genome
GCACUACUGAGGAGUCCCACAAUAGGACGAAACGGUCGUCCAGUGC